CCUACGGGAGGCAGCAGUAGGGAAUCUUCCACAAUGGGCGAAAGCCUGAUGGAGCAACGCCGCGUGGGUGAAGAAGGUCUUCGGAUCGUAAAACUCUGUUGUUAGAGAAGAAAGUGCGUGAGAGCAACUGUUCACGUUUCGACGGUAUCUAACCAGAAAGCCACGGCUAACUACGUGCCAGCAGCCGCGGUAAUACGUAGGGGGCAAGCGUUAUCCGGAUUUAUUGGGCGUAAAGGGAACGCAGGCGGUCUUUUAAGUCUGAUGUGAAAGCCUUCGGCUUAACCGGAGUAGUGCAUUGGAAACUGGGAGACUUGAGUGCAGAAGAGGAGAGUGGAACUCCAUGUGUAGCGGUGAAAUGCGUAGAUAUAUGGAAGAACACCAGUGGCGAAGGCGGCUCUCUGGUCUGUAACUGACGCUGAGGUUCGAAAGCGUGGGUAGCAAACAGGAUUAGAUACCCGUGUAGUC
rnacentral:rRNA from 1 species